rnacentral:rRNA from 1 species
UGCGUUUGAAUACUACAGCAUGGAAUAACAAAAUUGAACAAGUCAGAAUUCUGUUCUUUUUUCUUAUUUUGGCUUAGUUACGAUUAAUAGGAGUAGCUUGGAGGCAUUUGUAUUCAGAUGUCAGAGGUGAAAUUCUUAGAUUUUCUGGAGACAAACAACUGCGAAAGCAUUUGCCUAAAAUACUUCCAUUAAUCAAGAACGAAAGUUAAGGGAGUGAAGACGAUCAGAUACCGUCGUAAUCUUAACCAUAAACUAUGCCGACUAGGUUUUGGAUGAAAGAUUUUUAAAUAAGAAAAUUCCUUUCGGGGAAAUUUCUUAGAUUGCUUCCUUCAGUACCUUAUGAGAAAUCAAAGUCUUUGGGUUCUGGGGCGAGUAUUCGCGCAAGCGAGAAAGUUAAAAGAAUUGACGGAAGGGCACCACCAGGCGUGGAGCUUGCGGCUUAAUUUGACUCAACACGGGGAAACUCACUAGUUUAAGACAAGAGUAGGAU